rnacentral:lncRNA from 1 species
CGCGUGCCACGACGUGGUAGAGGAGCUCUGGUACAGCGCCGAGGACCCCGCUCGGACGCUCCUCCACGGUGUCCUCCAGUGCGCCGUAGGCUUCCACCACCUCUUCAACCAGAACCACCGCGGCGCCAUGAUGGAGCUCGGGGAAGGCCUCUGCAAGCUCCGCCGCCUGCGCCUCGAGGACUACGACGACCAAGGGCCCUUCUCUCGAUUCCGGGACGAGGUCGCCGCCGUGCUCAGCUUCCUCUACCGCACCCAGAAGGAGCUCGCGGCAUGUAGGUCAUCCUCAUCCACCACGAUCGAGUUUAGUUAAUUGAUUUGAACCUACCACAUAUGAAGCUAUGGCGCAUGGAUCAGGUAACGACGAGUUGUGCUUGGCCAUGGAUGGCUCCGCGACUUCGUAUCAGCUGCUCGGUGACUUCGCUGCCGGGCAGCGGUUGUACAGGCAGGGGGUCGACGCGGAGGGCGUCCCAAGCAUCCUCUUCUCCGGCCGCGCAUCCGGCGACCACCUCGCUCCUCCGUGCACGGUGAAACUUCCGUCGCUACAUGCCACGGAGCAGCAUCUCGCGGCGCUCCAGCGCGCGCACGAGUACUCGUAGUUAGGCACAGAUGCAACAAUAGUCAAUUACGCCGCUGGUAUCACAACUUCAAAAAAGUCAGUUUAAUACUAAAACUAAUGACAUAUACGGAGUAUUAAACUGUCACAACUUGACUUAGACAUACAUAUAUGAUCAGUAUAAAUUAUGUUUCUAUACUAAUAACAUGUUGAUUAGGCAUGGCAGCUUGACACGUGGUCGUUGUUAGCAGUGGCGGCGUCAAGAAAUGAAGGCUAGGUAUUCAUCUAAUUUUUUUUUUCCUCUAAGUGUAGAAUAUGAAUCAAACAACAUACAAUUAACAAUAUAUGAACAAAACAACACUAGUAUAACGGCAAUUGUAAUAUUUUAAUGUAUUCGACCAUAACAAUAUGAAUACAUAAGUACCUUUUGAUUGAUAAAGUGAUGAUAUUCCUUUUACAAUAUAACUCUGCGGUCGUCUUUUUGGAAGAGAUUGAUAACAUCUUCAUCCUUUACUUGACUGAAAAAUUCUCUCUCAACAAAAAUGACGCUCUUUUUCACUUUUAUUUUCUAAACUUGAACUUAUGCUUCUUUGGUUGACAUGAGCCCAUCUCAACAUAUCUCCUUCUUAUUUUAUAUUGGUCAUUGACAACAUACACUGAGAUGGAAAUCCGCUUUCCAGGAUCAUGUUCGAGUGCCUCCAAAUCUGCUCGCAUCGGUUCACCAUCUUCAUCAAUAGUAUCAUCAUCUUCUAUAUUAGGUGUUAAAGUUUCUCCUCUAUUUUCCGGUUCUUGCCAUAACACCAAUUAAAAAUUGCUCUCAAAAUGAACAGGAGAAAUACAAGUACUAGAUGCAGCCAUUGUCUGAAUCGGUAUGGAUAUUUUCAUCGAUUUUCCUUGCCUUUCAAGCCUUUUCCCACAUUGCAAAUAUGGUACUGCUCUUCAGUCUCUUUUUCAUCUACGUUAGGAAAACAAGGCUGCAUCUGUUAAAUAGAUAAAAUGAACUUGCAUCUAGUAAAUUAACCAGACUACUCGCUAACUCGCACCUUCUACGUGGCAUGGGGGCGAAGAGGAGGGGAAGACUGAGGGGCGGGCGCUAUUGCGGUUAGCGCGGGGGGCGGCCGCCGUUGCGGCCAACGCAGCUGCUACUCCCUCCGACUCCAACCAGCAGGGCGGCUGCGAGGCAGGCAGCGGGGGCAGGGGGGCGCUGCGGUCAGCGCGGUUGCUACUCCCUCCGACUCCGACCAACGGGGCGGCUCCUAGGUGGGGCGGGGCGGCUGCGAGGCAGGCAGCGGGGGCNNNNNNNNNNNNNNNNNNNNNNNNNNNNNNNNNNNNNNNNNNNNNNNNNNNNNNNNNNNNNNNNNNNNNNNNNNNNNNNNNNNNNNNNNNNNNNNNNNNNAAAUGAACUUGCUAAUUAUCAUGCUAGUCAAGAGAAAUCGAAUGAUGAUGAUAAGAAAGAAAUUGAAAGAAUAACUCAAGAAUUAAAAACUCUUAAGUUACUUCACGAGACUACUCUAGAAGAUCAUAGAGAGCUUGCAAGAACCCAUGAGAAGCUACGCUUCGAGAAGCUCAACUUGGAGUAGGAGCAUGAGUUCUUAAAAGCAAUCAAUGAUGAUCUCCGAAAGAAGAGUUCUUAUUAUCUAGCCAAAGGAUUACCCUUGUCGAACUUUGUUCCACAAGUUAGACAUAGGAACACUAAUAACAAAGGCAAGAAAGUUUCUUCAUCUAGUAACAAUAGCGCUCCCAGUCCGACUAUAAUCAAGAUGAAGAUGUUGCCGGCAUUGCACUUGUUUCCCCCAACUCCUAUGACUUCUUUGAUUCACCAAAUGAGGGAGUGGGAAACUGCUUCAUGGCUAAAGGCCCCAAGGUAUCACACCAUGAGUAUCUUGAUUUUAAUAGCGAUGAGGAUGACUUGUUAGGAUAAGGUGACUUGCUUCUAGAUAAAACUAGUGAAUGCACUGAAAAUGAACUUGCUAAUGAUCAUGCUAGUCAAGAGAAAUCGAAUGAUGACAAUAAGAAAGAGAAUGNNNNNNNNNNUCUUAAGUUAGAUCAUGAGACUAGUCUAGAAGAUCAUAGAGAUCUUGCAAGAACCUAUGAGAAACUACGCUUCAAGAAGCUCAACUUGGAGCAAGAGCAUGAGUUCUUAAAAGGAAGCAAUGAUGACCUUCGAAAGAAGAGUUCUUCUUAUCUAGCCAAACGAUUAAUCUUGUCUAAUUUUUUCCCACAAGUUAAGCCUAAGAACACUAGUAACAAAGGAAGGAAGGUUUCUUCAUCUAGUAACAAUAAUGCUAAAGCUAAAUCCAAUAANNNNNNNNNNNNNNNNNNNNNNNNNNNNNNNNNNNNNNNNNNNNNNNNNNNNNNNNNNNNNNNNNNNNNNNNNNNNNNNNNNNNNNNNNNNNNNNNNNNNUAGGGCGAAUUCAACAAAAUAAGUCGUCUUGAGAAUGCAAAACAAAUUUGGGAUACUUUGGUUGAUAUGCACGAAGGUAUUGAUUCUGUCAGAGAAUCUAAGUUGGAUGUGCUUCAAAGUCAGCUUGACAAGUUCAAGAUGAAGGAUGGUGAGGGUGUCGCUGAAAUGUACUCUAGGCUAGUUCUCAUCACCAAUGAGAUCGUCGGCUUAGGAAGCGAAAAUUUUCAAAAAAUUCAUCAUCAAGAAGAUACUUAGAGAUCUCGAUGGCAAGUAUGACACAGUGUGCACAUUGAUCCGAAUGAUGCCAAAUUACAAAGAUCUCAAGGCAACUGAAGUCAUUGGUAGGAUUGUUGCUCAUGAGAUGUCACUCAAGGACAAAGAUGAGCUGCACAAUAAGUCAAGCGGUGCUUAUAGAGCUUCAUGUGAUGCUCCCUCUACUUCAAAGGACAAUCUUGUCAUUGAUGAAGAGAUAAGCCUCUGUUGGGGAACGUUGCAUGUGAAACAAAAAAUCAUACGCACACGAAGACCUAUCGUGGUGAUGUUCAUCUACGAGAGGGAGAUCGGAUCCACAUACCCUUGUAUAUCGCUAAGCGGGAAGCGUUAAGAAACACGGUUGAUAUAGUGGAACAUCUUCGUGAUUCAAAUCACCGUCGUCCCACGAUCCGUCCCGAUCUAGCACCGAACGGACGGAACCUCCGCGUUCAACACACGUACAACUCGAUGACGAUCUAUGCCUUGUUGAUCCAGCAAGAUAGAUGGGGAAGUAGAUGAGUUCUCCGGCAAUGUGAUGGCGCGCCGGUGAUGGUGAUGAUCUAUUCAUGCAGGGCUCCGCUCGAGCUCCGCAGAAAACCUAUCUAGCGGAAGAACUACGAAAUAGAGAUUUAGGGUUGCACGUGGCAAAAGUUGUGUCUCAAAAACCCUAAAACCUCUAGUAUAUAUAGGAGGAGGGGAGGGGCUAGCCUUGGGGCUCAAGGGAUCCCCUAGGGCGUCGGCCAAAGUGGAGGAGGAGGGACUCCAACUCCAAUUCGGUUUGGGAAGGAGGAGUCCCUUCCUUCCUUCCCACCUCCCUCUUUUUUUUCUUUCUCCUAGAUUUUCUUUCCUUGGCGGAAAUAGUCCACUUAGGCUGGCCUCACCAGCCCACCAAGGGAUGGUGCGCCACCCAUGGGCUAUUAGGUUCUCUCACGGGUGGGUGGCCCCCUCCCGGUAAAAACCCAAAACCCAUUCGUCACUCCCGGUACACUCUCGGUAAUGCCCGAAAUCUUUCGGGAGGCCGAAUGAAACAAUCCUAUAUAUCAAUCUUUGUUUCCGGACCAUUUCGGAAACCCUUGUGACGUCCGUGAUCUCAUCCGAGGCUCCUAACAAACAUUUGGUCACCAACACCUAUAACUCAACUAUAUCGAAACGUCACCGAACCUUAAGUGUGCAGACCCUGCGGGUUCGAGAACUAUGCACACAUGACCUGAGACACUCCUCGGUCAAUAUCCAACAGCGGGACCUGGAUGUCCAUAUUGGAUCCUACAUAUUCUACGGAGAUCUUAUCGGUUGAACCUCGGUGCCAAGGAUUCAUAUAAUCCUGUAUACCAUUCCCUUUGUCCUUCUGUAUGUUACUUGCCCGAGAUUUGAUCAUCGGUAUCCCUAUACCUAUUUCAAUCUCGUGACCGGCAAGUCUCUUUACUCGUUCCGUAAUACAAGAUCCCGUGACUAACACAUUAGCCACAUUGCUUUCAAGGCUUAUAUAUGAUGCUGUAUUACCGAGUGGGCCCCGAGAUAUCUCUCCGUCACACGGAGUGACAAAUCCCAGUCUUGAUCCAUGCUAACUCAACAGACACCUUCAUAGAUACCUGUAGAGCACCUUUAUAGUCACCCAGUAACGUUGCGACAUUUGAUACACAUAAGGUAUUCCUCCGGUGUCAGUGAGUUACAUGAUCUCAUGGUCAUAGGAAUGAAUACUUGACACGGAGAAAACAAUAGCAACAAAAUGACAUGAUCACAUGCUACGUUUAUAGUUUGGGUCUUGUCCAUCACAUCAUUCUCCCAAUGAUGUGAUCCAGUCAUCAAGUGACAACACUUGCAUUUGGUCAGAAAACCUUAACCAUCCUUGAUCAACUGGCUAGUCAACUAGAGGUUUACUAGGGACAAAGUUUUUUCUAUAUAUCCACACAUGCAUUUAUGUUUUCAUUCAAUACAAUUAUAGCAUGGAUAAUAAACGAUUAUCUUGAAUCAGGAAAUAUAAUAAUAACUAUUUGAUCAUUGCCUCUAGGGCAUAUUUCCAAUAGCCUCAUGGCCAGGAAAUUCAACAAGUUCUACAAGAGUAGAGGAAAAGAUAGAAGCUCAAGAUCAAGACAUGACGAGAAGCAUUCGUCGAGUUGUGACCGAAUCUGCUACAAUUGUGGGAAGCUAUCACUCCCACUCCGACUAUAGUCAAGAUGAAGGUGUUGCCGGGAUUGCACUUGUUUCCUCAAGCUCCUGUGACUUAUUUGAAUCACCAAAUGAGGGGUUUGGAAACUGCUUCAUGGCUAAAGGUCCCAAAGUAUCACAUCCCGAGUAUCUUGAUUUUAAUAGUGAUGAGGAUGACUUGUUAGGAGAAGAUGACUUGCUCUUUGAUAAAACUAGUCAUUGCACUAAAAAUGAACUUGCUAAUUAUCAUGCUAGUCAAGAGAAAUCGAAUGAUGAUGAUAAGAAAGAAAUUGAAAGAAUAACUCAAGAAUUAAAAACUCUUAAGUUACUUCACGAGACUACUCUAGAAGAUCAUAGAGAGCUUGCAAGAACCCAUGAGAAGCUACGCUUCGAGAAGCUCAACUUGGAGUAGGAGCAUGAGUUCUUAAAAGCAAUCAAUGAUGAUCUCCGAAAGAAGAGUUCUUAUUAUCUAGCCAAAGGAUUACCCUUGUCGAACUUUGUUCCACAAGUUAGACAUAGGAACACUAAUAACAAAGGCAAGAAAGUUUCUUCAUCUAGUAACAAUAGCGCUCCCAGUCCGACUAUAAUCAAGAUGAAGAUGUUGCCGGCAUUGCACUUGUUUCCCCCAACUCCUAUGACUUCUUUGAUUCACCAAAUGAGGGAGUGGGAAACUGCUUCAUGGCUAAAGGCCCCAAGGUAUCACACCAUGAGUAUCUUGAUUUUAAUAGCGAUGAGGAUGACUUGUUAGGAUAAGGUGACUUGCUUCUAGAUAAAACUAGUGAAUGCACUGAAAAUGAACUUGCUAAUGAUCAUGCUAGUCAAGAGAAAUCGAAUGAUGACAAUAAGAAAGAGAAUGAACGACUAACUCAAGAAUUAAAAACUCUUAAGUUAGAUCAUGAGACUAGUCUAGAAGAUCAUAGAGAUCUUGCAAGAACCUAUGAGAAACUACGCUUCAAGAAGCUCAACUUGGAGCAAGAGCAUGAGUUCUUAAAAGGAAGCAAUGAUGACCUUCGAAAGAAGAGUUCUUCUUAUCUAGCCAAACGAUUAAUCUUGUCUAAUUUUUUCCCACAAGUUAAGCCUAAGAACACUAGUAACAAAGGAAGGAAGGUUUCUUCAUCUAGUAACAAUAAUGCUAAAGCUAAAUCCAAUAAUGUUGUUUCUAGUAACUCUAUAGAUUCCACUAAAGAUUCUCUUAGCCAAGUUACACUUGAGCAAGAAAAUGAUUUAUUGAAAGGGAUUAUAGAGAGAGGUGUCUUCAAGAGUCUUACCGGAAGUAAGCAAUUCGAGGAAAUUGUGCGCAAGCAAGGAGGACAUUGGAAGAAACAAGGUGGUGUCUAUUUCAACGUCAACGGAGAUGUUUGGGAAGAAGGUCCAUAUCCCACUCCCAAGUUUGUUUCCCAAGAGGAGAAGUCCACUCGUUCCGAAGGAACGAGCUCACAAGAUGACCUUGCACCACAAGACUAGAAAGGCAAGGGAAAGAUUCAAGAUGACAUUGACCUAUUUGAAGAAGAACCCCAAGCCAAGAGCAAGUGGGUUACCAAGGAUACUACUAGCUCUACCUCAACAAGUGCUACAACAAAUCCACGGAUUCCCAUCAAUAUGGUGUGGAUUCCCAAGAGGAAGAACUAGAAGUUCUUGAGGGGUGAUUCUACCAAUGAAAUUCACUCUUAUUCAUUUUGGCAAGAACUAUAUGCAAUGAACCUCAACCAUAUGCAUUAUUUCAAGGAGUCACACAUUCCCUCAAAGGUAAGCAACGAACUUGGUAAUCAAUGCAUCUUUGGACAUCAUCCCAUUUGUGCUUCACUCCAUGUCCAUAGAUAUUCUUGCGUAUGUUCCUUUUUUGCUUUGGGACUAACCCAUGUAGGUGAGAAGAGUAUGAAAACAACAAGGAUUACUCCCAAGUCAAGAUGAUCUUCAUCAACUUUGAGCAUCCUCCACUACUUCACCAACUUGAAGUCUUCCACGACAAAACCCAAGGUUAAUUGAUCCCUCUUUAUGGGGAUAUCAUAUCAAGGGGGAGCUUUACUAUAAUACUUGAGUAUAAGCAUCUCCUAAGGAUAUGAACAAAUUAAUUCUUAUGUAAAAGUGGUAACCCCACUUGUGGUUAACGAUGAGUAUGACCUAUGAUCAAGUAUUCUUGCUUGGCUCCUAUGUCAAUAUACUCAUAUAUAGAUGACCUUGUCAUUGCCCAAGUGCUUGAUAGGUGCUAAGAUGUUUGUGCAUGUUCACCAUGUUUGUAUCAUCAUUCUUAUUGUGUGAGCAUGUUAGUCUCCAUGAAUUUAAUCAUUCGAGGACAUCCAAUUGUUGUUAUAUGGCUUUUGUUUUAUCUUUUGCCAAUUGGAUGGACAAGAAUGCCUAGUACCCUUCUCUAGAUAUCUAUGCUAUCUCAUCUCAAGUUCUAUUCAUGCUUCAUCACAAAACUUGAACAAGCACUUGUCGAUCCCUCUGUGUGAAGGAGCACUCGUAGUUCCUAUCGUCAAUGGCUGACCUCGAAAACCUCUUUGUGAAUGAACUCAGUAAAACCUACUUCACAAACUCGGUUCCACUAAAGUCUAGAGUUGAUCUAGGUUUUCCAUCUCGGUACCACCGGAAUCAAAAACUAGGUUCCACCGAGUUUCCCUGUCAGCUGACAGUAGAGAAACUCGGUGACGCCGAUUUCGUCAUCUUAGUGACACCAACAUCGUACGGGUAUAUAUAUCCGCGGACCGAAUCUUUGAUUUCACUUCGUCAAAGCCUUUUUGUUCAUAAAACCCUCGCUGCUCCCAAGGCCCCUGAUCAUCGCCUUUGUCUCCCCGAGCGCCUCCACCACUAGGAAUCGCCGUCGUGGACGCAAUCAUCGCGGUCGUCACCGCCGUAGCCGGACCGCCACCAAGUUAGGGUAGAGAUCUGAUUUCCUUUUAUGUUCCCUAUCCGAUUCGUACGAAUUGGGAAAUUUUUUAUUUGAGCCACCGUGUGCAAACCCUUGCUUUCCACCAGAGCAUCUUGUAGCAUUGAGGAAGUUGAGAUUUUGGAUCUGACCUGCCGCAGCAUGAAACUCGGUGAGACCUUGCAGCUCUUUCGGUUUCAUCGAAAUAGACUGUCAAGUUUGUGUUAAGCGAGUAAGCCUUCUCGGUGACCCCGAAAAUGCCAACUCGGUGCCACCGAUUUACAUCCUGCGGAAGAUCAUAACCUAAGUUUCAGACUUAAUUUUUUUCAAAAAAAUAUGAAUUUUGUGAUGCUCAUCCAGUUUGUCUUUCCUAUAUCCACUUCACGGGUUCUACUAUUUGCUGUCGAGCUUGCCUGUCAGUAUGUCUAGUUCGGAACAUAGUCAGAAUGACUUCACAAAGCAGAGUGUUGAGUUGGAUGCUGGCACUAGUCCAGAGAAGUCUGCUUCAGACCCAAGUUCUCCCAAAUCUCAUGGUUUGCCCAAGGCAGCCACUAGGCAGAGGAAGAAGUUGAAUUCUAAUGAGGAGGACUCAGAUAUCAUGUUAGAGGAAACUUCAGCUCCAUCAAAAGCUCAUCCUAAGAAGGCUGUCAGGAAAGUUACUACUACCCGUGCUGAUCUGAGAGCACCUGAGUAUACCAGGAAGAGCACUCCACUUUCCAAGGAUGCACCUGCAAAGAAAGCUGGUGUGAAGAGGCCCGGGAAGAGAACUGUUCAUCUAGUUGGCAGAAAGACUUCCAUGUUUGAAGAUCCAGAAUCUGCUGAGGAAGAAGCUCCUGAGGAGAUCCCAGUUCCUCCCAAGAAUAAGAAGUUGAUGGCUGAUGCCAUGAAGUCUGCUCCUAAGCCUCCUGACAAAGCAAAGAAGGCUUUAAAGACCACCAAGGACAUACCUGCAGCUGCCAAGGCAAAAGGUCGUGCAUCCAGCGCCCAUGCUGCAGAGGAAGAACAUGAGAGUGCACCAGUUCUUAGGAAACUAAGACCAUCCCUUCUAAUCCAUAAUGUUGCACAUCUAGUAACAGAAGAUAUGAGAAGAGGAAGGAUGUCGGACUAAGGAAGUGCAGAGCUCUUGAUCCAUAUGCUGUCAAAAGAAGAAUUGUUGUUCAUCCAAGGUUUCACACCAAGGAACAACAAGAUUUUUAUGAGACUAUCUUGUAUGACAAGUGUCCUGCUGUCAGUGAUAUGAGGUAUGUCGACUAGGCAUAUAUCAAGGAAAAUGAAGAUUCCUUUCCCCGUGUCCAAGAGAACUUCAAGGAAGUGGACAUUGUGAAGUUUGUUGACAAAGAGAUGACCCCAUGGAAUGACGAACUGAUCAUGUAAUUCUAUGCAACUGUUCAUUUCUAUGGAGAUGGUUCGUUACUCUGGAUGACUGAUGGACACAAGUAUGAAGCCACAAUUGUUGAAUGGGCUGCUAUCAUUGGUGCCCCUAAGCAGAAAGUUCAUGAUGUAGACGUGUAUGCAGAAGCAAAGAAGAGUCACAACUCAAUGACCAAUAUGUACAAGACUAUUCCACAUCAGUACUUGGCUAGUCACAAGAUGGGUUAUGUGUACUUUCUUCAAGCAUGCAUUCCUAUGACAAACACUAUUCUAAGAUACACCCUCAUGCCUAAAUAAGGAGAUGAAAAUAUGAUUAGAGGACAUUCCAUUAACCUCCUGCACCUACUAGACACCCAUACCAGAUUCAGAGUGAUGGACUUGAUAGUAGACACUAUCCGGAGAACUGCUGCAGAUCAGAAGAGGUCAUGUGGAUAUGCUCGUUACAUUCAGAUGCUUAUCAAUGCCAAGCUAGGAAAGCAUGCAUAUCUACUUGAACAUCCCCAUCUACCUCUUCAACCAGACUUUGAGGACAAAGAAGUUGUUAUGGACGAAAAUGAUCCCAACUUAGCUACACCAAGAAUGGCAGCUGAGGCUGCUAGAAAUAGGCCACCUCCAGUUCCACAGCUCAGAACUCAAGCUGAGCAAAUGGAAUUUCUAGUUAGCUCUGUCCAAGGCAUGGAGAAGAACAUCGAGAAGAUUUUGCAAAACUAGAAGAGUCUUGAGGGAAUUGUGGAGACAAAAAUCCAUGACAUGGAUGUGAAGGUUACUGAGUUGACCACUAUUGUCAAACGCUUCAACAUGAAGUUGACUUUGUGGAGAUUCCAUGCUCAGAAGAUGAAGAUGAAGAUGAUGAUGAUGAGGAUGAGUCUCCUCCUCCCACUACUACCAGGUUCAGCACGAGGCCUAGGUCAGCUGUUGUUCCUGCUCAAGAGACCGGUCAGACUUCUUCAGCUCAAGCUUCAGCACCAGCUCCAGCUCAAGCACCUCCAGUAUCAACUCCUUGAGUUCCUGGACAUUCAGCAGAAGCCUUCGCGGAUGAUCUUCUGUCGACUCCGUCAUCAGCUGCUCAGAGAGACGAGUUGUUCUAUGCUUUUGAACUUUUUGGUAACUCGUUGCCAAAGGGGAGAAAUGUAUAGACCAUAGACUUCGUGUGAGAGAGAGAUUUUGACUUUAUUUCCUCUCAUUUUGUUUUAAUAACUUUGGUCGUUUGGAUGACUUUAUCCUAUCUGUGUGGUUGAUCAUACACUUUAUCCUAUCUAUGUGAUGAUCAUUCACUUAUCUUGUUGGUGCCAUGUGCAUUGCUAAAGAUGUCUAUGACCUGGAAGAGUGACCCAUGACCCUAAUCGAUUGUGCAUUUGCAUUCAAACGCAAAUUUGAAAUAAUGCACAAAUUUAAGGGGAGCUCUUGCUUUUCACAUACUUCUCAAAGCGUCGAUGCUAAUCAUUGAUUAUAUCUUUUGUAAAAGCUUUGAUCUAUAUGUCAUCAUCAAUUACCAAAAGGGGGAGAUUGAAAGCACAAUUUCUCCCUAGGGUGUUUUGAUAAUUGAUUACAACAUAUGCAUCAUUGGACUAAUGUGUUUUCCAUGUAUAUUUCAGAAAAAGUUCAAAAGAUGCUAUGGUUUAAGGUUUAUGUGGAGAUGACCCUGGAUGCAAGAAAGGAGUAAUAUUGGCUUAAGCUUUAAGCUAGAAGACUCUUCAUUUUAUAGUUGUGAGAAAUCACUUUCGAGUCCAUAGGAAAGCCAAUACUAUUAAAAGGGGGACAGGUAGUAAAAUGAACUGAUUGCUCAAAUGCUCAAAGUUAGCCACCAAAACACUCAGUCAUUUUUCCCACAUAUCCACUCUGUCAAGAUCCACAUACACAAAGUCAGUGUCGCCAAGUUUCCCAUAUCGUACCCACUGAGUUUGACCUCAGACAGAAACCCUAGCUAUUCCCACCAAAUCGGUGCAACCGAAACCAAGUCAGUGCUACCGAGUUUAGUAUGACCAACAUUCUCUUUCCAAGAUACACAAAAUUGGAAUUUCCGAGUUUGAGUAUCGGUGCCACCGAGUUUGGCCAUCUGACCAUUAGUCACCUUUUCGGUACCACCGAGUUCUAUAUAUCGGUCUCACCAAGAUUCAAAAGUUGCUACCUUUGUGCAACUCGGUACCACCGAGUCCUUGACUUCGGUGUCACCGAGUUUGUUACUUUGUGUGUAAUGGUAGGAUUUUGGUUGUUACCUAUAUAUACCCCUUCACCCAUCUCUCAUUCAUGGGAGAAGCACUCAGAAUGCACACUUCAUUGCCAAGUCCGUUUUCUAAGAGAGAACCACCUACUCAUGUGUUGAGACCAAGAUAUUCCAAUCCAAUUAUUUGAAACUUGAUCUCUAGCCUCCCCAAACUGCUUUCCACCAAAUCAACCUCUCCUACCCAUGCAUAUUCUGUGAGAGAAUGAUUUGUGUUGAGGAGACUAUAUUUAGAAGCACAAGAGCAAGGACUUCAUUGAUCUACCACAUCUAUUACCUUUUGGAGUGUGGUGCCUCCUAGAUUGGUUAGGUGUCGCUUGGGAGCCUCCUACUUCAUGAUGUGGAGUUGAACCAAGAUGUUUGUAAGCGCAAGGAGAUCGCCUAGUUCGUGAAGAUCUAUCGUGAGUAAGGCUAGUCCUCCGUGGACGGAAGCCGUGGUAGAAUAGGUAAGGCCGCUUCUUUGUGGACCCUCCGUGGGUAGAGCCCUCCGUGGACUCUCGGAGCCGUUACCCUCCGUGGGUUGAAGUAUCGACUAACAUGGACGUACGAUAGCGCCACCUACCGGAAGCAUGCCAAAAAUCGUCGUGUUAACCUCAUGCGUUUGAUGUCCUUACCUUACUGCUCUACUUUAGAGUUGCAUGUUUACUUUCCGCUUCUAUACUAUUAGAAUUGCAUGUGUCGGGUGUACUUGACCUGCUAUAAAUGUUGUAGCUGUUUCUCAAGUAGAAUUAGGAAAAGGCAAAAAAAUUAUCUUGUCAAGUAGUCUAAUAACCCCCCCCCCCUCUAGACAUACUUUUGAUCCUAAAGUGACGUGAGAGCCGGCAAAACACAAAGCGAGGAUACUCCACGGCCUUAUGAGUCGCCUUCUUUGAAACUUGGUUAAACCUGCCUGUUCACAAGCUGCUACUCCGACCUCAUGUACUCUCUAUAAGUCAUAUCCGAAUUUAUCACGUUAAAACAUCGAUUGCGUCAAGUUAGGGUCGGCUUACCGAAAGCGAGGAGAAACCAGUGGCUAUCAUGCUAGUUUCAUCGAAGUAAGAUUUGAGAUUCACAAAAGCUGACUUAUAAUUCAUUCCAUAUGGAGAUAUUGUUUAUUUACAAAAAUUCUCUGAUUGGUAAUCACCGGGUCAAGGAACUUUCCGGGUUAAACUUGCUCAUCCUUGACUUCUUCGACCAUGAGUCACCAUAUUAUGUAAGAAAUCUCAUAAAUGACUACAAGUCGUCGUUCGAUUACCCACCGGAUAUGUCCACUUCAAAGAUUUCUUGGGUGGAAUUUAUUUUGCAGGUAUGCUAUUUAUGCUUUAAUGUUGCUACAUGGUGGUUUAUCAAACACAUGUGCAAGCAACAGGUUGUAUAAAAUCCAAAUAAGAUCAAAAGCAAGUUGAGAUGGAUCAAAAGAGAUAACGUGCACGAAGGCACGACACAGGCAACCAGUUGUUUGUGAAGUUUUUACAUGGCUUCAAACUGAGCCAGAAUUCAAGCUAUAAAGUUUUUGAGUAAAAGAGCUCCUCGUAUGACCCGGCUGUUGAAGCACCAGGGUUAGCUUCAUCCGGGUUAACUCUAGGUUGACUGCUCACGGGUGCUGCCUCCAGGUCAUCCUGCACCGUCUCUUCUGUAUCUUGGAUCUAAAGGUUGUCCACAUCCCAGCUGGCAUUGGUCAAAGCUUAGAAAACAGUCUCUUCAUUCAAGAUGGGAGAUGGGUCAACAUGAGGGGCAAAAAUAUGCUUACGACGUUGUGGAGUUAGAUCUACAACUUCAAAGCUCGGCGGUUGAGCUCGCAAAUUUUAUCAUCAUAAGCCGCAUGAUUGCUCUUCAAAUACAUCUCAGCAACUAGUUGGUUGGCCAAUACUCGAGUCUCCCUUACACAUCGUAAGUAAUCAGCAUUAGUAAAGUCUGGUCCGUCAACUUUGUACUAAGGAAACCAUCCAGCCAUCUCUGCAGGGUCCAGGUCUGCUGAGUAAGCCAUGGCCCGGCUUAAAGAUGAUAUUGCACAUGCUUGGGUGGCUGGCCUUUUAAGCUCUUUAAUUUGUUUUGGAAUAGUGGAUAGGCAUCUGAGUGCAUCCUUGAUGAACUUCACUGGAUUUUUAUCACCCAUAACAGCUAUAAUGGUACACAUGAUACCAAUAUACAACUAUUCAGAGUAUACUACUUUUAGCUGCAUCAGGUUGUAGUUUUGAAGAUUGCGAGUCCGGAUGCCUGCAAGAAUUGCAAUGUGUGAGCCACCAGGCGGUUCUAGAUUUGUGCAAGAUGAUAUGAGCAAGUCAUCACGAGUUUAUAAAAAACUUACUAAAGAUGUCUUGGGUCAUGUGAGUGAUAUGCUGCUUUAGCAGGCUCACUUCUUCGAAAAAUGGCUUCAACUGGUUGUCCACAUUUUCGGUGCGCUUGAUCAAGCCGGUUCUUUUAGUGUUGAAAGUGGUUUUUUUGCUUCAAAGUCUGCCUUCACCUUUUCCAAUUCUGCCAACAAAGAUUGCACGUUCAAUUCAGCCUUGGCUCGGGUGGCUUGUUCCAGCGCAAGUCCUUCUUUCAAGCCGGUCACAUUUGAUUUGGCUGCUCUUACAGCCUCCUGCAUAAUGAGGGAUACAAUGUUCAGUAUUAUUUUAAGCCGGUAGUUUGGUGCUAGUUAUUACUUCGGGAGUUGUGAAAAGUAUAAAUUCCAAAAGUCCCAAGCACAUUGCAAGAAAUAUACUUGGCACUUGGGGGCUAAUGCAUAUCAGUUUUUAUCCAUAUGGUGUAGAAAGACCCAACUCACUUCAUAAAAAUGAGCCGGUCCUUGGGGCUACAGAUUAGCUCUUCAAAAGUAUUCUGGUGAAAAGACACGACUCAUUUCAUGAAAAUGAGCUAGCCCUUGGGGGCUACAGAUUAGGUCUUCAAAAUAUUCCAGUUAAAAGACCCGACUCACGUCAUGGAGAUGAGCUGUCCCUUGGCAGCUACAGGUUAAUUUUGCAGAAGUUUUAUAUUUACAAGACCCGACUCGCCUCAUGGAGAUGAGUCGGCCCUUGGAGGCUAUAGGUUGAUUUUGCAGAAGUUUUAUACUUACAAGAUCCGACUCACCUCAUGGAGAUGAGUCGGCCCUUGGGGGAUAAAUGGAUAUAUACAAGACAAAAUAAAAGUUGAAUAUACCUCGUAUUUUUUCUUCAUCAUGCUAACCAAGCUCGCUUCCAUGUCCUGACUUGUAGUGAGGCGGCUUAGAUAACAGGCGUGCAAUUCCACAGCACUGAAGCCUUCAUAAUUGGGAAGCUCAAGUUUGCCUUUCCCUUUAUCAAGCAAUGGCGCCUCAUUUUUGGCAACAAGUUUGGUCAGCACAUUGGAGUCUUUCAGAGCUAUGUAACCCGUCCCAGUGAUGGUAAUGUCAUCUUCGUGCUUCCAAGGAGAAGGAACAUCUUCGGUUGCAACACGAUUACUAGGCGGAUUAAGUUCAUCUCCCAGGUUAGCUUUAGCAUCCAUGGCUUCAGGGCUUGCCAACUCAAUAUGCUGGGGAGAUUCUUCUCGAUCAUCCGGUUGGUUUUCAGGGUGUUUGGUAUGAACUUUAGGAGUCACCAAACGUGGGUCUUCCAUCUCAGGGAUUUUAGGGUUCAUGGAUGAAUCGCCAAUCUUCCUUUUCUUAGCCUUGGCCCUGCAAACAAGACAACAGAAUGAAGCAUGUGUAUAGCCAGGUACGGGUAAGUAAUAUAUGAUACAAAGCAAAUACUUAUCCAUGAUUGAUAACAAGGGGUGGCAGCUUUGUAGCAGUUGAGUAGGCUGAUGAAAGUGGCGACUCCUGAUAAUUUGAAUUAGAAGGUGUAAGUGGUUACCGGAUAAGGCCAACUUUUGGAAGAGAGGGAGUUGGACUGUGUGGGACCUCAUUCUGUCGUUUACGGGCGGCUGACUUGUCAGGUAAGCCGAUAACUAGGUCACCAGAGCUGCUCUGAGUAUGGCACCUCGUUUCAUGCUGAGUUUUCGUCAAAAUAAAAUUGGGAUCCAAGUAAGCAUCCGGGUGAGAAAAAUUUACUUUUCGAAUGACCCGCCUUGUUUUCCUUGGAGGCAAGGAUUUUGAGCGGGAGGAAACGAUAAUUACCUCAACAUCUUCAACCAGGCUUGAUUCAGCACCGCCCUAGAGAUUAGAGGCAUGCGCAAGUAUAAUAAAAAUAUGAAUAAAGGAGCCAUGUUUUUACCUCUGAUGGUACAUCAGUGGUUGGUGACUCGCCCCUAGCUGGCUUGUCUUCUGCAACCGCCUUGUUUUUCUUCUUGAUGGGGGUGGGUUUUGGCUUAGUUGCCGGAACUUUCGUUUUCUUGUUCCAGAAGGGAGAUGUUGCCUGCAAAGUCAUCAAUAAGAACAUCAAGUAAGCUUGGGAGUAAAAUAAUUCUGCAAAUCAGAUAAACAGUGGUCAAAGAUUCUUACCGGAGGAACCGAGUUAAGAGCAUAGAAGGGUCUCAUUCUAGUUUUAUUGCAAACUUAUUGCUUUUCUCUUAGCAACUUCUUUACAAUCCGGUUGACAACAUAAGGCUCCGAAGUUUCAUUGUUGUAUCUUUGGGCAUCAUUUAAAUCACCAUAAUAUUUACACAUUAAGUCGCCACACCGACUCAAUGGCAAAAUCCUCUAAGACACCAAACAUCGGGUUAGAUCAACCCCAGUAUUAGGGUGGGUGAACGAAUUACUGUCGAGCAAUUGGUAGAAUUGCGCAAAGUCAUGAUGAUAUCUAAGGCAAUGAUCAUACAUAUAGGCAAUACGUCUGAGACAAGUAGACCGAUACUGUCUGCAUCUACUACUAUUACUCCACACAUCGAUCGCUAUCCAGCAUGCAUCUAGUGUAUUAAGUUCAUAACAAACGGAGUAACGCCUUAAGCAAGAUGACAUGAUGUAGAGGGAUAAAUUCAUGCAAUAUGAUAUAAACCCCAUCUUUCUACCCUUGAUGGCAACAGCAUGAUGCGUGCCUUGCUACCCCUUUUGUCACUAGGUGAGGACACCGCACGAUAUGAACCCAAAACCAAGCACUUCUCCCAUUGCAAGAAUUAUAGAUCAAGUUGGCCAAACGAAACCCACAACUCGAAGAGAAUUACAAGGAUACGAAAUCAUGCAUAUAAGAGAUCAGAGGAGACUCAAAUAAUAUUCAUAGAUAAUCUCAUCAUAAAUCCACAAUUCAUCGGAUCUCGACAAACACACCGCAAAAAAAGCUUACAUCGGAUAGAUGUCCAUGAAGAUCAUGGAGAACUUUGUAUUGAAGUUCCAAGAGAGAGAAGAAGCCAUCUAACUACUAGCUAUCGACCCGAAGGUCUGUGGUGAACUACUCACGCAUCAUCGGAGAGGCAAUGGUGCUGAUGAAGAAGCCCUCCGUGUCCGAAUCCCCCCUCCAGCAGGGCACCAGAACGGUCCCCAGAUGUGAUCUUGCGGAGACAGAAGCUUGCGACGGCGGAAAAGUAUUUCCAUGGAUCUCUCUGGUGGUUUUGGAUUUUUAGAGAAUUUAUAGGCGAAAGAAGUAGGGCAGAGGAGCCACGGGGAGCCCACAAGCCUGCUAGACCCCCCCCCCCGACCGGGGCUAGGGGGUUGUGACCUCCUCCGAGGUCCCUUGCCUUGGUUCUCAAGUCUCCUGCGUAUCUUCUGAUAUGGAAAAAAUCAUUCCGCAUGUUUUAUUCCGUUUGGACUCUGUUUAAUAUUCUCCUGUGAAGAAGGUCAAAAAACACAGAAAAAACAUAAACUGGCACUUGGCACUGAGUUAAUAGGUUAGUCCCAAAAAAGAUAUAAAAAAGCAUAUUCAUGCAUACAAAACAUCCAAAGUUGACAAGAUAAUAGCAUGGAACCAUCAAAAAUUAUAGAUACGUUGGAGACGUAUCAGAGCUUCUUCCUCAGCUUCUUUUGGGUCUUCAAACAUGGAAGUAUUUCUACCAGCAAGAUGGAUAGUUCUCUUCCUAGGCCUCUUCACACCAGCCUUCUUUGCAGGUGCUUCCUUGGCGAUAGCUUUGCCCUUCCUGACAUACUCAGGUGCUCUCUGUUCGGCAAAACUGGCAGAUAUCUUCCUGAUAGCUUUCCUUGGAGGAGCCUUUGGAGGGUCUGAAGUUUCUCCACGCAUAUAAUCUGAGUCUUCCUCGUCAAAAACUAUCUUCCUUCUUUGCCUGGUGGCUGCUUUGGGCAAGCCAUGCGAACUGGAGAACUAGGGUCCGAAGCAGUCCUCUCUCGACUAGUGCGAGCAUCCAUCUCGAUACUCUGCUCUCUGAAAUCAUUUUGACUGUCAUUUGAACCUGACAUACUAACAGACAAGCACAUCAGCAAACAGAAGAACAUGUGAAGUGGAUAUAGGAAAGACAGAAUGGAUGAGCAUCACAAAAUUCAGAUAUUUUUUGAAAAUUUGAAGUCUGAAACUCAUGGUAUGAUCUUCUGCACGAUGUAAAUCGGUGGCACCGAGUUGGCAUUUUCUGAGUCAUCGAGAAAACAGACUCGCUUAACAGAAACUUGGCACUCAUUUUUGGUGGCACCGAAAAUAGCUGCUCGGUCUCACCGAGUUGCUUCUCACGAACACUAAAACAGGAAUCGGUGGAACCGAUUUCGCAAACUCGGUCUCACCGAGUUGCAUUCUACGGCAUGUCAGAUCUGAAAUUUCCUACUUCUUCUUCUCUACGAGAUUUAUUUGGUGGAUAAAAGUAUUUGCACAUGGUGGAAAGAAGAAAAUAUGUCCCAAUGCGUAAGAAUCAGAUGGGGAACGGAAGGGAGAUCGAAUCAUACCCUAGCUUGGUGGAGGUUCAGCUACGGCGACGACGAAGGAGCAGAUUUCGUCGACGACGGUGAGUCCCAGCGGCGUCGGCGCUCGGGGAGUCAAGGUGAUGACCUAGGGUAUCGGGGGGCAAUGAGGGUUUGAGGAACGAACCGGUUUGAAGAUGUGAAAUCAAAAGGUCUGGUCCGCAGGUAUAUAUACCCGUGCUUUGUCUGUGUCACCGAGAUGGAAAAAUCGGUUUCACCGAGUUCCUCAACUGUGAGUAGACAAGGAAACUCGGUGUAACCGAGUUGGCGAUUCCGAUGGUACCGAGAUGAGAAACCUGAUCAACUUUGGAAAAACGGUGGCUCUGAAUUUGUGAAGUUUGUCACACCGCGUUAUUCAAAGAGGUUUUGUAAGGCAACAUUUGACGACACUGAACUCUGAGUGCACCUUGAGAGAGAGGGAUCGACAAGUGCUUGUUCAAGUUUUGUGAUGAAGCAUGAAUAGAACUUGAGAUGAGAUAGCAUAGAUAGCUAGAGAAGGGUCCUAGGCAUUCGUGUCCAUCCAAUUGGCAAAAGAUAAAACAAAUGCCAUAUAACAACAAUUGGAUGUCCUCGAAUGAUUAAAUUCAUGUGGACCAACAUGCUCACACAAUAAGAAUGGUGAUACAAACAUGGUGAACAUGCACAAACAUCUUAGCAGCUAUCAAGCACUUGGGCGAUGACAAGGUCAUCUAUAUAUGAGUAUAUUGACAUAGGAGCCAAGCAAGAAUACUUGAUUAUAGGUCAUACUCAUCGUUAAGCACAAGUGGGGUUACCACUUUUACAUAAGAAUUAAUUUGUUCAUAUCCUUAGGAGAUGCUUAUACUCAAGUAUUAGAGUAAAUCUCCCCCUUGAUAUGAUUUCCCCAUAAAGAGGGAUCAACUAACCUUGGGUUUUGUCCUGGAAGACUUCAAGUAGGUGAAGUAGUGGUGGAUGCUCAAAGUUGAUGAAGAUCAUCUUGAGUUGGGAGUAAUCCUUGUUGUUUUCAUACUCUUCUCAACUACAUGGGUUAGUCCCAAAGCAAAAAAGGAACAUACGCAAGAAUAUCUAUGGAUAUGGAGUGAAGCACACAUGGGAUGAUGUCCAAAUAUGCAUUGAUUACCUAGUUCCUUGCUUACCUUUGAGGGAAUGUGUGACUCCUUGAACUAAUGCAUAUGGUUGAGGUUGAUUGCAUAUAGUUCUUGCCAAAAUGAAUAAGAGUGAAUUUCAUUGGCAGAGUCACCCCUCAAGAACUUCUAGUUCUUCCUCUUGGGAAUCCACACCAAAAUGAUGGGAAUCCUUGGAGUUGUGGUAGAACUUCUUGAGGUAGAGCUAGUAGUAUCCUUGGUAACCCACUUGAUCUUGGCUUGGGGUUCUUCUUCAAAUAGGCCAAUGUCAUCUUGAAGCUUUCCCUUGCCUUUCUGGUCUUGUGGUGCAAGGUCAUCUUGUGAGCUCGUUCCUUCGGAAGGAGUGGACUUCUCCUCUUGGGAAACAAACUUGGGAGUGGGAUAUGGACCUUCUUCCCAAACAUCUCCGUUGAUGUUGAAAUACCCAACACCUUGUUUCUUCCAAUGUCCUCCUUGCUUGCGCACAAUUUCCUCGAAUUGCUUACUUCCGGCAAGACUCUUGAAGACACCUUUCUUUAUAAUCCCUUUCAAUAAAUCAUUUUCUUGCUCAAGUGUAACUUGGCUAAGAAAAUAUUUAGUGGAAUCUAUAGAGUUACUAGCAACAACAUUAUUGGAUUUAGCUUUAGCAUUAUUGUUACUAGAUGAAGAAACCUUCUUGCCUUUGUUACUAGUGUUCUUAGGCUUAACUUGUGGAACAAAAUUAGACAAGAGUAAUCGUUUGUCUAGAUAAGAAGAACUCUUCUUUCAAAGGUCAUCAUUGCUUGCUUUUAAGAACUCAUACUCUUGCUCCAAGUUGAGCUUCUUGAAGCAUAGCUUCUCAUAGGUUCCUGCAAGCUCUCUAUGAUCUUCUAGACUAGUCUCAUGAGCUAACUUAAGGGUUUUUAAUUCUUGAGUUAGUCGUUCAUUCUCUUUCUUAUUGUCAUCAUUCGAUUUCUCUUGACUAGCAUGAUAAUUAGCAAGUUCAUUUUUAGUGCAUGCACUAGUUUUAUCUAGAAGCAAGUCAUCUUCUCCUAACAAGUCAUCCUCAUCACUAUUAAAAUCAAGAUACUCAUGGUGUGAUACCUUGGGGCCUUUAGCCAUGAAGCAGUUUCCGAGUCCCUCAUUUGGUGAAUAAAAUAAGUCAUAGGAGUUGGGGGAAACAAGUGCAAUGCCGGCAACAUCUUCAUCUUGACUAUGGUCGGACUAGGAGUGAUAGCUUCUCUAGUAGUGGUGAUCAGAUUCGGAGCGAGAAACUCAUUCACCAACAUGAGCUUGAUGUCCUCUUCUUGAACUGCCCUUGGUGUAUUUGUCCUUCUUCUUCGAUUCCUUGCCUCUCUGUGGGUGUCUUCAUUCAUAGUAAUCUUCUCUACUCCUUCUUUCUCUGCGAGGUGACUCAUCUCUUGAGCUUCGUCUUCGAGGUGACUCUUCUCUUCUUUUGUAGGGAGCCGAGCACUCAUUUGAGUAGUGUCCGGGCUUCCCACAAUUGUAGAAGUUUUGGUCACGACUGGACGAAUGCUUCUCAUCAUGUCUUGAACUUGAGCUUCUAUCUUUGCCUCUACUCCUGUAGAACUUGUUCAAUUUUCUGACCAUGAGGCUUAUCUCUUCAUCAGUGACAAGAUUGUCUUUUGAAGUAGCGGUAUCAUCGCAUGGAGCUUUAUAAGCACCGCUUGACUUGUUGUGCAACUCGUCUUUGUCUUUGAGUGACAUCUCAUGAGCAACAAUUCUACCAAUGACUUCAGUUGGCUUGAGAUCUUUGUAAUUUGGUAUCAUUUGGAUCAGUGUGCACAUUGUGUCAUACUUGCCAUCAAGAGCUCUAAGUAUUUUCUUGAUGAUAAAUUUUUCGGUCAUCUCUUCGCUUCCUAAGCCGGCAAUCUCAUUGGUGAUGAGAGCUAGCCUAAAGUAUAUUUCAGCGACUCCUUCACCAUCCUUCAUCUUGAACUUGUCAAGUUGAGUUUGAAGCACAUCCAACUUAGAUUCUCUGAUAGAAUUAGUACCUUCGUGCAUAUCAAUCAAAGUAUCCCAAAUCUCUUUUGCAUUCUCAAGACGACUAAUUUUGUUGAAUUCUUCGGGGCAAAGGAAGUUGAAUAUGAUAUCGUAGGCUUGAGCAUUAAGUUGCAACAUCUUCGGUUCAUUAGUUGUCGCUUCACGAUCUGGUUCAUGCCCUUAUCCAAAGAAGUUACCUUGCACACCAACACGAAUAACAACCCAAACAUGAGGAUUAAAUCCAAGUAUAUGCAUUUUCAUUUUAUGCUUCCAACUAGCAAAAUUAGUGCCAUCAAAGUAAGGACCUCUACGAUGAUAAUUUCCCUCACUGGAUGCCAUACUCUCCUAGGUUACUAAACUGAUGAAAUGGAGAUGAAAGCUUUGAUACCACUUGUAGGAUCGAAAGUAUGUCUAGAGGGGGGGUGAUUAGACUACUUGAGAAGAUUAUUUUUUUGCAUUUUCCGAUUUUUACUAGAGAGGCAGCCACGACAGUUAUAACAGGUCAAGCACACCCUACACAUGCAGUUCUAAUAGUAUUGCAGCGGAAAGUAAAACAUGCAAGUGUAAAGUAGGGGAGUAAGGUAGGGAGAUCCAACGCAUAAGGUUGAUACGGCGAUUUUUGGCAUGGUUCCGAUAGGUGGCGCUAUCGUACGUACAUGUUAGUGGAGAUUUCAACCCACGGAGGGUAACGGCUGCGAGAGUCCACGGAGGGUCCACAAAGAAGCGGCCUUGUCUAUCCCACCACGGCUUCCGUCCAUGGAGGACUAGCCUUACUCUAGUUGCAACAUCUUCACUAAAUAGGCGAUCUCCUUGCCCUUACAAACAUCUUGGUUCAACUCCACAACACGAAGUAGGAGGCUCUUAAGCGACACCUAACCAAUCUAGGAGGCACCACCCUCCAAAAGGUAAUAGAUGGGGUAGAUCAAUCAACUCAUUGCUCUUGUGCUUCUAAAGAUAGUCUCCUCAACGCAAAUCUCUCUCACACAUAAUAUGCAUGGGUAGGAGAGGUUGAUUUGGUGGAAAGCAGUUUGGGGAGGCUAGAGAUCAAGUUUCAAAUGAUUGGAUUGGGAUAUCUUGCUCUCAACACAUGAGUAGGUGGUUCUCUCUCAGAAAAUGGAUCUGGAAAUGAAGUGUGUGUUAUGUGUUCUUCUCCCACGAAUGAGAGGUGGGUGAAGGGGUAUAUAUAGGCAGCAGCCAAAAUCCAACCGUUACACACAAAAGUGCAAACUCGGUGACACCGAAGUGGAUAACUCGGUGGUACCGAUUAGUACUAAAGGUGUGAACUUUGAAUCUCGGUGAGACCGAUAUACGGCACCGAAAAGGCGACUAACGGUUAGAUGGCCAAACUUAAUGGCACCGAUACUCAAACUCAGAAAUUCCGAUUUUGUGUAUCUUGGCAACAAAAUGUUGGUCACACUGAACUCGGUAGCACCGAUGCAGUUUCGGUUGCACCGAUUUGGUGGGAAUGGGUAGGGUUAUGUCUUGGGUUCAAACUUGGUGGGUCCAAUGUGACAAUGUUGGUUACACCAAAUUUGUGUAUGUGAAACUUGACAGAGUGGAUAUGUGGGAAAAAUGACUAAGUGCGUUGGUGGCUAACUUUGAGCAUUUGAGCAAUCAGUUAAUUUUACUACCUCACCCUCUUUUAAUAGUAUUGGCUUUCCUAUGGACUCAAAAGUGAUUUCUCACAAAUAUAAAAUGAAGGGUCUUCUAGCUUGAAGCUUGAGACAAUAUUAUUCCUUUCUUGCAUCCAGGGGCUUUUCCACAUAAACCUUAAGCCAUAGCAUCUUUUGAACUUUUCUAAAAUAUACUUGGAAAACACAUUAGUGCAAUGAUGCAUAUGUUGUAAUCAAUUAUCAAAACCAUCCUAGGGAGCAAUUGUGCUUUCACACACGCCAAGGAUUAACGCUCGAGGGUUUGUAAUAUGUACAUGAUUCACUUAUAGUAGGUGGCUAGAGUGAUAAAAGCUUACACCCGAGUAAGGGAGUUGUGUGCGUAUGGGAGUAAAGAGGACUUGAUGUUUAAUGUUAUGGUCGAGUUUACCUUAAUGAUGUCUAGUAGUUGUGGAUGCUCGCUAGAGGUCCAAUCAUAAGUGCAUAUGAUCCAAGUACGAAAAGUGUAUUAGCGUAUGUCUCUCCCUCAUUGCAUAUGAUAAGUAUCUAUCAUGUUAUAUUCAAUUGCCUAUGCAUAAUCUUUCUCUUGUGUUACACAAAAAGCUUUCUACUAAACAGCCCCUAAUUUUUAUUUACUUGCUCUUUAUUUCCUUUUAAAACUAUCUAUUACACCUACUAAGUACUUCUAGUUUCCUUCAUGUAAAAUAGUUGCAUACUUGUUCUAGGUAAAGUAAGUGUUAGCGUGCGUAGAGUUGUAUAGGUGGUCGAUAGAACUUGAGAGUAUAUUAAUUCUAGCUUUAGAUCCCCGUUGGGUUCGACACUCUUACUUAUCGAAAAAGUCUACAAACGAUCCCCUACACUUCUAGGUUAUCACAUACAACUCCUACUGUACCUGUAUUUGAUGGUUUUGUUAUAGCCUCAUUAGUGUUCAACUUUACUUCUCCCCCAGCGGGUGGAAGCCAUGCCAAAGCAUGCCCCACCGCUGAAGCUCUUCCAGUUUUAGUCCUUUGGGUCUCUUCUGGGAGGUCGUUGAGCUCGUGCAAAUACAUCUCAAUAAACAUGUGUGUGGAUGGCGGACUUUGCAUCUCAUGUUCACGGAUUGUCUUUCUCCUAGCCCAGCAAAUGGCCCACAAUGUAACUAGAACCAAGAUGAAUAUGUCCCUUCUAAGAGUGAUGCACAAACCAAACUACCACAACAUUGAAAUCACUAAUUGAAGAAUACUCCUUACAAAGAUCACUCCCACCUUUUCACGUUGUGACAAGUAGCGCACUGCAUAUGUGUCACUUGUUGCAACCUAAGAGCUUUCCCUUUUUUCGUAUAUUCGCAUUUUCAAAACGUUUUAUCUAUUAAACCACGAGUCCAAAUAUCGAACCGUUUUCAUCAUUGGAUUCCUCGCUUCGAAAUCUUCAGAACUAGAUUUCAUGUUGAUAGUUUUUGACGAACUUGUUUUUUACAAAAAGCCGAGCAAAAGAAACAGACGAAAAAACCGUGUGUCUCGCGGAAGGAAAAUAAUAAUAAUACGUGUUUUAUUUUCGCUUCCCAGAGGCACGGUCGUGCCUCUCGUGGAAGCAAACAUGUGCAAGCAAAACCAUGCCUCUCGCGAAACAAAAACACUGAAAAAGGCAUUAGUUUUUUUCAUUUCGGAGAGGCACGGUCGUGCCUCUCGUGAAAGCAAAUCCAUACCUCUCGCGAAAGCAAAACCGUGCCUGCCAUGAAAGAAAAAUAAAUACAAAAUGUUUUUUCCUGUUUCCGAGAGACACGCUUGUGCCUCUCGCGGAAGUAAAGUCGUCCCUAUCUGGAAGCAAAAGUGUGCCUCUCGUGAAAGAAAGAUUAAACAAAAAACCCAUUUUCUGUAUCCAAGAGGCACGGUCGUGCCUCUCGUGAAAGCAAAACCAUGCCUCUGGAGACAGCAAAAAACCAUGUCUCUCGAGGAAGAAAAAAAAACACGUUUUUUUCAUUUUCGAUAGGCACGAUCGUGCCUCUCGCGCAAGCAAAUCCGUGCCUCUUGUGCAAGAAAAACCGUGCUUUUCGAGAAAGAAAAACCGUGCAAAAGAUAAGAAAGACCGAUGGAAAACCGAAACACCAAAAAACCCAGGAAAAAUUCACCAAAAACCGAAAACGCGUGCAAAAACUAAAAAAACACUCAGAAUGAGACACGUGGUGGCGGUUGAGAACGUGCCAAAUGACGGCACGCGGGAGUGAUCGUUGCGAGGUUCCCGAAGGACCGGUCCUUCGCCAAGUAGUUGCUCUCCCACAACUUAGAGCAUCUCUAAGAGACCCCGUAUAAUGCCGACCCGCAAAAUACGUUUACAGUUCAUGAAAAAUAGUUUUGCGGGCCGAGCGGGCGGCGGCCGACCAGACCACGCAAAACGGACCUAUAAAAAAGGAUUUCUUUGCGGGGUGUGCUCGGCCGCCGCCCGUGGUGGCCCGUAAAUCAGUAAUUUGCAUUUCAAUUUGGGGUAUGAAAACACAUUUAUUUUCUUCUUUAUUUUCUUCAAGGGCAUUGUAUAUAUAAUGGUUCACUAAAUCUUUGGUAGAAUAGCAAGCCCAAAGAAAAUAAGAAUCAUAAUUAGGCAUUUUAGAAGAUAUCCAACUUUCAUAACUGCUCCCACUAGCUGGACCAACAUCUUCUCCAUGUCUUCACUGUUGAUGUGCGGAUUCUUGAUCUUGCAUUCUUCAUUAUUCUGCUUUGUUUCUAAAGAAUUAGACGUUCCUUCUCCUCUAUUUUCUUUUUUAAAUGCACAUGCAGCCGCAUCAUUAACCUCAAUUAUACCAACAAGUGCAUGAAUAUCUAUUAAGUUUCUUUCUAUCAAUAAAUCGAUGUAUUCUUCUUUCCAAUACCAAAAUCAGCAUCCACCUUCCUAAACACAUGACCAUCUCAAUAAGCUAUCAAAAUUGAACCGAAUAGGUUGAUAAAGCCAAAUGAAAACAAGAACAUACCCCAUCGUUUUCACAUUUGAAGGAUACCCAUCUGGGGUGUUGCGGUGUGCUAGAUGUUGGCCGCAACACUAUCUGUGUGCACUCAUCGCAUUCUAUGAGCGACAUCUGCGAGCUGCUGCACAAGCGCCGAGCCCAGGCGACGGUCGGCUGACUCCUUGCCAGCAAACCGGCGACUAUGUCUAGAGGACGAAUCAGUACCUGCAUGCGGUGCUCGGGCUUUGUCGGGGCUGCGCGGGGUGCUCCCCAACCAAUCCAUGGCUUGGCGCGGCCGUAGGUGGCCGGAAACGCCAAAUCCGGCGACCGCGACAAACAACCGACGAUCUGCAACUUUCCGGUCGGCCGAGGCAGGAGGAAUUGGUAGAGGUCAAUCUCGGGCGUGUGAUGGCCCGUCGGCGUGAUCCCACCGGCUGGUAUGGUCAGAAUCCUCAGCGGUGGUUGCUGGUAAAAGCACGGGCUGAAAUGUCCCUCCGCCAAGGGAACCGAUGGUGCGAAGGGAAAAACCUACGUUUUUGCGGGUUGGGAUGGGAAUUUUACUACAUCCCACAAAAUUAUUUACGUGUCCUAUCGUUUGCACAGACUGAUCGGACAACAUUUUUUUAGGAAAAAAACGUAUUUUAAUAAUUAUUUUACGGGUCGGGGCAUUGUACUGGAUGCGCUAGAGUUCUGUUAAGCGAGUAGUGUAGUCGCCAUAGGGGGUGUGCUAGAGUUCUCUUAAAACAUCACUAGUAGUACCCUCAAACCCUCAAAAAAGUUGAAGGGUCCAACCCUCAAACCCCCUCCCAACCUGUAGAAGUGAGGGUUGGGGAGCGAAAACUACCCCAACCCGCACUCGUGUUCCGUUGUCGCGCGGGAGGGACUUUUCCCCGUCCCCAACCUCCCACCCGAGCCGCCGCCCGCCGCCAUUCCGACCGCCCCCGCCUCCCCUCGAUGUGCGCGAGCCUUCCACAGCUGCGCCGCACUCCUCGCCGUCGGAUCCCGCCCCGCGCAGCAGCCGCCCGAGCCGCGCUAUCGCCAUUGCCGCCCCGAGAUUUCUCCUUGCCAUCCGGCCGCCCCACAUCCUCCUCAACCUAUCCUCCACCUCCUCGACCUCCCUCAACCGUCGCGCCCGGUCCCCCGUCCAUCCGCCGCCUCCCGCACGAGGCCGCCUGUUGCGCCCCGCCCACCAUCGACAAUGGCCUCCCACCCCCCAGCCGCCUCCCGCAGCCAGAGGCAGGCUGGCCCCAGGCCUCCUCAAGCUCUCCUCCCUGCCGCGCCAGAGGCGAGGCGGGCCAGAGGCAGCCGCGUCGCCCCGAGCUCUGCUCGCCGACUCGGAGGUAUGCAUCCUUUUCUUUCUUUUUGUUUCAUUUUUUCCUUUUUGAUUCAUUGUUGGCACUCACAAUUUAUUGUUUGUUGUAUUGUGUAGAUGGAGGUGAACAACAACGACAUGGAGUCGUUGUCCGAUGAUACCUCUUGGUCGCCAUCGGACGAUUCAGACAUUAAGGAGUUGCUUCAAGACAACGACGUCGAGAUGAUGGGCCUCCUCCUCGACGUGCAAGAGUUUGAAGACCGCGUGAAGCUGAUGGAUCAGAGGAGAGGGUCGAAGACGGGGCGAGUCACCAUCUAUCGGAACCGCGGUCUCGGACACGAGCAAUUGAUGCAAGACUACCUCGCUAAGGUACCGACAUACCCACCUCGCCUCUUCCAGAGAAGGUACCGAAUGCGCCAUAGUUUUUUUGUCAAGAUUGUCACCGAUUGUGAGGCCGCCUGAGAAUAAUUCAAGCGUCGUAGAUCCACCGCCCAUAUCAUGGGGUUUAGUGGGUACCAAAAGAUAUCGGUUGCAAUGCGGGUGAUCGCCUAUGGCAUACCCGCGGACUAUAUCGACGAGUAUCUUCGCAUUGGAAAAGAUAGAACCACGGAGUCCGUCCGUAGGUUUGCAAAAUUGGUCAUCCGGUUGUAUGGUGAUGAGUAUCUUCGGGCACCCAACGAGGAAGAUGCAAAGAGAUUGAUGGAGAUGAAUGAAAAAAGGGGAUGUCCGGGGAUGUUUGGUACUCUUAGUUGUAUGCAUUGGACAUGGAAAAAUUGCCCAAAGGUAUGGCAAGGAAUGUAUUGCGGUAAAAGUUGUGAUGCUACCAUUGUGCUUGAGGCUGUGGCAUCGGAGGACAAAUGGAUUUGGCAUGCAAUUUUUGGUUUGCCGGGAACACUCAAUGAUAUCAAUGUGCUCAAUAGAUCUCCUUUGUUUGCAAGAUUAGUUUCUGGGGAUGCUCCAACUUGCAACUACAAAAUCAUGGACAAUGAGUACUCAACGGGAUACUAUCUCACCGAUGGAAUUUAUCCCGAUUGGGCAACUCUUGUGAAGUCCAUCAAGGAGAAAAAUGGGGUGCCCUUAACCAGAAAAGAGGCUCAUUUCACCGAGGCACAAGAGGCAGCCCGCAAGGAUAUUGAAAGAGCUUUCGGUGUUUUGCAAGCAAGGUUUGCAAUAGUUUGGGUCCAGCUUGUUUUGGGGACAAAAAACCUUGGAGAACAUCAUGAAAUAUUGUGUGAUUCUACACAACAUGAUCCUCGAGGAUGAGAGAGGGUUAAACCUGCCUUGUUUCUAUGACAAUGUUGGUACCGGUGUGCAACCGGAAAUAAACCAUUGUCGCGUACAAGAUUUUAUUGAAGCACGUCGUGAGAUUGAGGAUGCAAACACUCAUGGUCAACUCCGGGAUGAUCUAGUAGAGCACCAGUGGCAGUUGGAUGGGCGGCGCCAAGGCCCAUGAUCUACCUUUGUUUUACUUUUCGAUGUCCUAUUUGAUUCGAACAAUUAUUGUAAUUUGCAAAAACAUUGUUGUAAUAACUUGAAUGAUCAUUAUGUGCUUGAAAGUACUAUUCGGUGUUGUAAUAAUAAUAACUAGAAUGAUUAUUGUUUUCUUCAAACCGUUAUUGAGAUGAUAAAAAUUGUGAUAUGUCAAAUGACAGUUUUAAGGGUUGGGGUUGCGGCAAAGACUAGAACCCUCAAACUCAACCCCUAUAACGGAAUAUUCUGUUAUAAGCAGUGGCGGAGCCAGCGCCCGGCCACCACGGGCACUUGCCCUCGCUCUUUGGCCAUGGGACAGCGUACACACGUAAUAAACAAUGAGGCAAACUCUGAUAUGCAUCGUCGUUUACCCGGGCAGCAAUGUAUGAACAGUGCGCUUCUUAUUUAUCGUUUUGAGCAAAGCAAAACAAUGGGAUCCUACCAAGCGUUGUCAUGGGCUAAUUAACUCUGCCUACCAUGCACAGUCCGCGUACUGUUCAUCACGUCAUGGGCAGCUAUUCCCUUCUUCAAAAGGAAUUAAUUAAACGGGAGGAAACAAGCAGACACGGCAACACACAACACUUCGAGCUGGUGGUUUCCUAAGCAUCUAUAACGGGAUCCCUAAAACAAUCUCUCGUACAUCCGUGGAUUUGAACUGGUAGUUUCCUAGAGCAUCUAUAACCGGAUCCCUUAAACGAUCUCUCAUACAUCUGUGGACAUGUCCAGUUAGUGACCGAACAGAAAAGAAAGGGGAAAAAGUGAUCAAACCGAACCCUUCAUAUCAUCACUAUACGCCCGAGCAGUCCGCGAACCCUCAUAUCUAUUUCAAAUAUAGGCAUGCCCGGUCCUGAGGGGGGGAGCGGGGCGGCUGCCCUGACUCUUGAUGCCAGAGAGGCCCCCUAUCAUGUGUGUGCUAUCUAUUGGCCCUGGCCAGAGUGAUGAAGUAGACAACGCACAACGAGGCCGAUUGACACAUGAUGGUUUGCUAAAAAAAGAUUGUGCAUGAAGGAACUCGUUGGAGCUCUCUUUACCUAACAUUGUGUGGUAGCUUAUUUUACACCCGACAAAGUCUUUAUGCAGUAUCCGAGGAAGGAACUCGGCGGAGCUCUCUUUGUCGAAAGAAGGUAUGCCGAGUAGGGUUUGUCGAGUGUGACACUCGACAAACAGGUUGCUGAGUUGAUAUCGGCCUUCGUCGAGUACUUUCGUACUCAACAAAGAACCAGAUUCCAGUAGUGUAUAAAACUUAAUAUUGAUAUAUCAUAUAGUAGCUCACUUUAAACUACAUCUGCAUGACUACUAUGUUCAUAUUUUCACUUCAUUGUUAUUGUAGAAUUGUGUUUUCAAAGUUUAGGGCUAUGUUAAUAUGUUUCGGAACACUCGAUUUUGAUUUCUAAUUUCAAAACUUAGGCUAAAGCUUGUUCGGGCUUCACAAAAGUUCUGGCUCCGCCACUGGUUGUAUGGGUUGGUUUUGAGGGUUCUAGUCUUUGUCCCUAUUUUUCAAUCCUUAAAAGUGUUUAAAAAUAUCAAUUCUUAACCCUUAAACUGGUUUAAAGGUUUAAGGAUUUAAGGAUACUACUAGUGAUGCUAUUAGAUUGAUGCUAUUAGAUGGAGUAGCGUCAUCGCCAUGGAUCGGACUGACGGUGCAGAUCUUUUGGCUCGGCCGAGUCGAGUUAGUUGGGCCGGGCAGGUCAAAGUAUUUUUUUUCACUGGGCUAGCUGUUAGAUAUUUCGCUCCUUCAGUUUUUCUUUUCAUACGAGUACUCUUGUGUGGAGUGUGUGGUUGACCGGCGCCGUCGCCGCCGUCCACAAAUGACACGGUACCGUUGUCGUGUGCCGUGACACGAGCCUCGCUUUCUUUCUAUGGCGGUGGCGGCCUCUCACUCCGUCUCCGCCAUGGACGCCCUGGCGCCACCGUCCCGCGCGCCCGUCGGCUCGCCCGCCGCGGCGGCCGCCUUUGCUCGACGACGGUGAAGAGGGAGCUCGAAGAGCUCCCGUCGGUGAAGACGGAGCCGGAGGCCGAGGCGGUGCCGGAGCGACGUGCCGGGGCCGUCGUCGGACCGAAGGAUUUCCUCCCUCCGGCGGAGGCGGAUAGCCUUCUGCCCGUGCUUUGGUGAGCUCCAGUAGGUGAUGCCCCCCUCUAGUACUGAAUGUAGUUUGUAUGAUCAUGACUGUGGUUCCAAUUUCGCCCGCGAAUGUUUAUUUUUUAAAUUAUGCAGUUUCAUUAUACGGCUUCUGUUAUGCAGCGCAACAUUUCAUCCCGCAAAACCCUCACUUGGUCGAAGUGUAAAACGCGUUUGCAAGUCAUGAUUAUACACGGCUAGAGUUGCUCUUAGUUGGGCCGGGCAGGUCAAACUAUUUUUUCAGUGGGCCUGCUGUCAGAUAUUUCGCUCCUCGAGUUUUUCUGACGAGUACUCUUGUGUGGAGUGUGUGGUUGACCGGCGCCGUCGCCGCCGUCCACAAAUGACACGGCACCGUUGCCGUGUGCCGUGACACGAGCCUCGCUUUCUUUCUAUGGCGGUGGCGGCCUCUCACUCCGUCUCCGCCAUGGACGUCCUGGCGCCGCCGUCCCGUGCGCCCGUCGGCUCGCCCGCCGCGGCGGCCGCCUCUGCUCGCCCAUAUGUUCUCCACCGUUUCAACCGCGGGAACAUCCGCCGCCGAGGCGCCGGCCUACGCUGCCGCCGGCGCCUUCUCAGUGCGCGGGGAGAGCGCCCGGCUCCUGAUGACGAUGAGAACGGCGAGGAGGUGGCUGGGUUCGACGCAGCGGUGGAGCUAUUCAACGGCGGGGAGUACCACGCGUGCCACGACGUGGUAGAGGAGCUCUGGUACAGCGCCGAGGACCCCGCUCGGACGCUCCUCCACGGUGUCCUCCAGUGCGCCGUAGGCUUCCACCACCUCUUCAACCAGAACCACCGCGGCGCCAUGAUGGAGCUCGGGGAAGGCCUCUGCAAGCUCCGCCGCCUGCGCCUCGAGGACUACGACGACCAAGGGCCCUUCUCUCGAUUCCGGGACGAGGUCGCCGCCGUGC